AGCAGCCGCGGUAAUUCCAGCUCCAAUAGCGUAUAUUAAAGUUGUUGCAGUUAAAAAGCUCGUAGUUGAAUUUCGAGAUCAAAUUGUUGGUCGUGCCUUGGUACGCACUGGCAUUAUUGGUUUCUCCCUUCUGACGAACCAUGAUGUCAUUAAUUUGGUGUCUUGGGGAAUCAGGACUGUUACUUUGAAAAAAUUAGAGUGUUUAAAGCAGGCUCACGCUUGAAUACAUUAGCAUGGAAUAAUGAAAUAGGACGUUUGAUUCUAUUUUGUUGGUUUCUAGGAUCGACGUAAUGAUUAAUAGGGAUAGUUGGGGGCAUUAGUAUUCAAUUGUCAGAGGUGAAAUUCUUGGAUUUAUUGAAGACUAACUACUGCGAAAGCAUUUGCCAAGGAUGUUUUCAUUAAUCAAGAACGAAAGUUAGGGGAUCGAAGACGAUCAGAUACCGUCGUAGUCUUAACCAUAAACUAUGCCGACUAGGAAUCAGACGAUGUUAAUUUUUUUAAUGACU
rnacentral:misc_RNA from 1 species